rnacentral:rRNA from 1 species
CCUGAGAAACCCGAAAGAUCGAAUGGGGAGAUUCAUCGUCAGCGAUCCUGGCACUUGUGCGGUUCGCGAUGUCGCGGGACCUCGGUCUCGCGGCACGCGCUCCGCAUGGUUUUUUUUAUGCCAGGUGUCGUCGGCGUGCACUUCUCCCCUAGUAGGACGUCGCGACCCGUUGGGUGUCGGUCUACGACCCGGGUGGGCGCCUGUCGUGUGUCACGCCUCGCGGCGUUGUCGCGCGGCAGACCCCCGUGUGUUCGUGGCCAACUGCCCGGCGGUACUCGCACGGUAUCGAGCCGCAAAUAUUCGAACUGCGUCCGGCCCGCCGCAAGCGAGGCCAGUGUUUCCCGGAUGUACGGACCUCGCGCCGUCACCGGGCCUGGCCAGCUGUUGGCUGGCGGUGCUCUGGGACUGGCUCUUUGUCAAUUAUGAUACCGGUCGGCGACGCUACUGCUUUGGGUACUUUCAGGACCCGUCUUGAAACACGGA